GUUCAUGCAAGGACUUGUGUGCAAACACAAAUCUCAUCGCUGUCAGCCUCCAAGGGAGCCAGCAGAGCAGGCUGUGCUCCAGGGUCAGUGCUACAACAGCUCAGGAGGAGUGCACACAGCACUCUGCUGAGAAGCUGUGCCAGAGUAAUUAUUUACAUGUGCUGGCAUAAAGUAAUUACUAAUGGAGCGGAACACCAUGCACAAUUCCUCCAAGCUGUCCCAGAGGAGGCACUGGGAGGUACUGAGCAAAGUGCACUCUCCAUGUACCGAACUUCAGGUUUCCUCCCACCUCAAUCCUCCUCCCUCCUCCCAGGGGAGCAGAGAAGCCUCUGUCAGUGCUUUUGCCUCCAUCCUCUUGCCUAUGCCAGCACACUCCAAGGCUAGGCGGACUGCUGACACAACUAUGCGCACCCAGACCGACUUCCUAAAGCCCUGAAGAACAUCACACCUUCCACAGUGUAUCUUCAGCUUCUCCAUCAGGUGUAUGACUUGAUUCACCUCUAGAAAAUCCAGUUCCCAGGUUCUGUGGUUGCUAUCCCUGGGAUCACUUGUCUGGGGUCUGUUACUAAAUGUGAUCAGGUUUUUUCCUGUUCUUUCAGACAGGUCAGAAUUUCAGGAGAUUCCUUUCAGGAUGGAGCAUAGCCCUUAUCUUCAUCUGGGCAUCAGUGUUCAGGCCUGGUGCCCCUCCAGGCAUGACUUCAUCCCCAGCUCAGCAUGCCUAGGCAUCUGUCCAUGAUGUCAGCCCUUAAGUCCCCCAGUAUUAGUGCCUGGCCUCCUUUAAUCCAAACCCCACCCAAAAUGUAGCCCGGAACUCACCCCUCAUGUGCUGUAGGAGUAGCUGCUAUCUAUCACACUGACUGUGAUCUCACCAACCUUGCCGUACAAAUUACUGUCUCACCUCCAGUACCCCUUCCUGUUGGGAUCUUUGUAGCAUCCCUUGAGCCUCUCCUUCCAGCCUUGUUGGUUCUUUAAUAAACCAAAAGACUGCA